CUAUCAGGAGGAUCGGGCAGGAUUUCAGAGCAACCGGAUAGCUUGGAUUUCCUGAAAGUACCUGACCAAGGAGCAGCUGGCCCUCAUUAGCUGAUGAGCUGGCAAAAUGCAUUCCUUUCUUCUUUCCCCUUCCUAAACUUUGGAGUGAUCACAGCUGUGACAGCCUGGGCAGCAUUCCCUCUGCUGCUUCAGAGCUGACUGUGACUCAAGUCCAUAAACGGCCCUGGAAACUGAGGCAACUUAAGAGAGAUGCAGUAUCACUCAGCUUAGUCACAAGAAUGCGUUCGCAGGCAGACGACCAACCGGCCCCCGCCAGCGGGGGGCAGACCCAAACCGCAGCCCAAACCCAAGCCUCAGGUCCCGCAGUGCAGGG